GGGAGCUGCCCCCGCCCCCGAGCCGCGAGCCCCGCGCCGGGCCGGGGAGUCCCCGGCGCCACACGCCCCCACCACCCCCAUCUUAGCGCCCCCCACCCUCUAUGGAGACAUUUCAACCAGGGAGAAGGGAAGUCCUGCCCUUGCCCCUCGCCCCCGCCCUGCUCCUCCAACAGGGGAGACUUCUGUCCAAACCUUGGAAAGAAACGAGAUGCCAGGCCUAGCGCCUUCGGGGAUCCUCUCUGGACAAGGCCACAGGGUGAAAACACCAGCACUUCCUGGAGGCGUUUGACCGGGACCUGGGAGGGCAGCUGAGAAGUGCCUGACCAUUCUCAAGGAGCUGCGUGGAUUCCAGACAUCUCUGGGCUGGUCUCUGGACCGGGAUGGGGGACCCAGAGGUGGAGCCGAACACACAAGCAGCACUUGAGGGCUCCGAGGGUGGCAAGGAGAGAAGUUCCUGCUCUGGUACAGCCCUGGGACCUUGAAAGACUGAAGCUAAGAAGUGCUGGAGACAGCAGUUGCUUUAGCCACAGGCUGUGUAGACCACCUGAGGAUGACCUGGGGGUCUGUUUUGUGCACCUUGGAACCCAUCGGAUCCCUCCAAUGACACAUUUGUCCAGAGCAAGACAAGAUCACACUUUGACAGCCCUCUGUCAAGAUCCUUGCUCCAAAUCUCCAGACUAGCAGCCAGGAGUCUCCAUGCUGUUCUGAAGAAGCAGAUUCCUCACCCACCCUUCAACUCCUUCCCAGGAGGUAAUCCUCCUCCAAAUCUCUGGAAAAGAUACACCUCCUCUUCUCUGAUAAAGGCUGGGGGGUGAUGCCCCUCCCCCAGUUUCCCAAUAAAGCUAUGCAAGACAGGAGCAAGGGAUCUCACGGCCUGUUUUUGCUACAAAAACCCUUUUUCGGAAAAAAUAAUAAAGAAAGGAAUCAGCCAAUCCCUCCUCGAUGCCA
rnacentral:lncRNA from 1 species